ACAUGAAUUGUUACUGUUGCUGCCACUCUUGGGUUUGCCCUUUAAUCUAUUUUUACCCUCUUCUUGAACAUCUGUCUGCACAGGUUGUCCCUUAAAGAGUGGAACCACACUUGUGUAACAGCAGUGCUGCUUUUAAACUGCUACUGAUAUUUGGCUGGUCUUCCUGCUUGUUACAGAGUUACUGUAAAGUAUUGUUUUUUUUUUUUUUAUGCCUUACUGUGUCAGAAUGCUUGCUUAAACAUCUAUUUGAGCUUUUGAAACAUUGUACUGUAGAUGUAGUUUGUAUAUAACUUUAAAAAUCAUUGUUAGUCUUUCUAUGCCACCUUAAUGUAGUUUUUAUUAACAAAAAAAAAGUAAAAAAAUAAUUGUCCUGUUUGUCACUGUAAAUGAGAUUCUUCAUUGUUUGUCCGAAGGUUUUCCUUGCAGUCUUUUUGUAUUCACUGUAUUGGUUCUGGUACAGUUUCUGGGAGGACCUUUUGUGUGGGGUGCGUAUGUGUGUGUAUAGAUGGACCAGCAUUAGUAACUAAAAACCAUGACUCCGUUACCUAUCACAGUAAACGCUGCUGCCACUCCAUAGUUGUGUUAACAGCUCAGAACAAAAGAACAGUAUUAGAUCAGAGGUUUGGAUUUGUUGGGCCAAAAUUUAAAGGGCAUCACCCCUGCGCCUCCCAUGGAGGUCUGAAUGGCAGUGUCUCCUGAACUUCAAGAACAGAGACUAAAUAAUAUUUCUGCCCUCUUUCCAUGAUUUCCCCCCUUAUUUUUUUUCUCUCUCUCUCCCCCUCUUUCCACAAGCUUCUGUCCUACCCUGUUGGGGUGUACAGAGAACAGAAACUUACUGUUCAUUUUGGGGUUUCUUAACAUUUUAUUUAUUUGUACCAUUAUCAUUUUUUAUAUCACAGGUAUUGUUGAACUUCUUAUUCCUCUAGACAUUAGUUUAAUCUCGGUUUGAAUCUUCCUGUUACCUUUAGGACAAUUUAAAAAAAAAUCUACUUGUCAUUCUUUUUGUAGGGCAAAAGUUGUAUUCGAAAGGGUAUUUUUGUAUGUAAUGUAAAUGCCUUCUUUACAUUAAGAACAUAAAAUUCACAAACCCCCAAAGUGGCGCCUGUGGUUUUUGUCUUCUUUUUUUUCUUCAAAACAGUGGUC
rnacentral:lncRNA from 1 species